AGCGCUGGCGGGGGGGCUGGGGCGGAGUCCCCCCCCUAGUUUGGCGGAAAGUGAGUGAUGAGUCUGUGUCCCUAGCAAAGAGGCAAAGAACUUGCUGUGCAGCCUGAGUAGUUGUUUCUUUCGAUUGUUGUUGUGGUUUUUUUUUUUAAAUUGCGCUGCUCGGGGUGGGCUUGUCUGAGGGGGGGGCUGGUUUGUGGCCGCGGAGAAAAAACCAACAACCCCCCCUCCCCGAGAGCCAACGGAACAAAAACAAAAGAAACUUCGCCGGGUUCCGAAAGUGGCAGCAAAGUGCCGGGCAAGUUGCAGGGAUGGAGCUACAGAGCUUGCAAGAGGCGUUAAAAGUGGAAAUCCAGUGUCACCAGAAACUAGUUGCACAGAUGAAGCAAGAUCCACAGAACGGUGAUCUUAAGAAACAAAUCCAUGAAAGGCAAUCAAGAAUAGCAGCUCUUAAUGAAAAACAAAAGCUGGCGGUGCGGAGCUGCCCCGCGGCGGUGCUGGUGGGAAGCGGGGGCAGCGGAAACUCCAAGCCCGGCGGCGGGGUCCCCGCACUUCUCAAAGCGUCCGGCGGCGGCGGCCAGAGCCAGAGCCAAAGCCAGAGCCUGGCCAUCUCCGUCCUGCCGGCCAAGGCUCCCAUCGCGAUGGUGACCGCGCACCUCAACGGGGGGCUGGGCUGCAGCGCGGCCGGCGUGGAGCCCCCGCAGAGCGCCCCCAUCAACCUGCAGACCACGGCCAAGCUGGUGACCGCCCGGAGAGCGCCCGAGCGUGGCUCCCGCUCCCAGGCUUUGGGAACUAUCACUGCAGUGCCCAUUAAAGUUCCUCAGGUCAGCUCCUUGCAGAGGUUGGCAGGACAAGGACCAGCAGUGCUACCUCAGGUUAGGCCAAAGACCCUGAUUCCAGACAGCCUUCCUAUUUCCCCAUGCAGAGACCAACCUUCCAAACAGCCUCCUACUUUCCAAAAGGCAACAGUAGUGAGCAUCAAAAACCCUAGCCCUGCCCUCCCCACUGCCAAUAAUACUGUCAGCCAUGUACAGACGCCUAACAGCCAGUCACAAAGUGUGGCCGAGUCUACAUCUAUCUCAUCACCUCUGAGCAGUGCAGGUGUGGCCUAUGCUAUUAUAUCCACCUCCCCCAACAAUGCAACUCCUAUCAGCACGAGCGCUACCGUCUCUGUGGUCAACGAUAGCAUUAAAGUGCAACCACUCCUCAUUAGUGCCGACAGCAAGGUUAUCAUCAUUCAGCCUCAAGUCCAGACCCAGACAGAAAAUAAAGUGGAAACAAAGAAACCUCCUGAAGAGUCACCUCAGGGACCCCCUGCUGCCAAAAAGAAAAAGGAGGAAAAUCCAGAGAAAAUUGCCUUUAUGGUAGCAUUAGGCCUGGUUACAACAGAACACUUGGAAGAAAUCCAGAGCAAGCGUCAGGAAAGAAAGAGAAGAAGCACAGCAAAUCCAGCCUAUAGCGGACUCUUGGAAACUGAGCGGAAACGCCUGGCAUCAAAUUAUUUGAAUAACCCCUUGUUCCUUUCAGCAAGAGCAAAUGAGGAUCCAUGUUGGAAGAAUGAAAUUCACCACGAUGACCACUGUACAGCAUGUAAGCGUGGCAUUAACUUGCAACCAUGUGGCACAUGUCCAAGAGCAUAUCAUCUCAAUUGCUUGGAUCCUCCUCUGAAAACUGUCCCCAAAGGGGUUUGGGCCUGCCCAAAGUGCCAACAAAAGGUAUUAAAGAAAGAUGAAAAUGUGCCAUGGACUGGAACUCUGGCUAUUGUUCAUUCCUAUGUUACUCAUAAAACAGUCAAAGAAGAAGAGAAGAGAAAAUUAUUAAAGAAAGGCAGCGAGCUGAAGAGUGAACAUAGACAGUUGGAAGAGAAAGAGAGACUUCUCAACAAUGCAAUUAAAAAAUGCUUAGAGCUAAAAAACAGCCUGUUAGCCCAGCAGAAAGGGACUCAGUCAUCGCUGGAACGUCUCAAAACUCUCAUUAGACUGAUACAAAAUGAGCAGAUGAUUCAGGUUACCAUGACGACAACCACCACCUCCUCCCUGCUAACUGUCCCCUGGAUCAAACCCUCAUCUGCCUCUGCUGCCAUGCACAAAGCCUUGCAGCAAUCACAGGGUAACAACUGACAGCGCUGUCUGGGGGAAAUGGAAAAAAACAAAAAAAAACUUUAUACAUGCGCAAAGGAGAGAUUAAACCGAAACAACGGGAAAUGAAGGAAACGAAAAACAAUCUCAUUUUUUACACAUGUAGAAUUUAAGCCAAUCAGUCCAGUUUGUAGGUCACUGUGGUAGCAACUUCCCACAGAGCAGAUUUUGCUGCAGUUUUGUAUUUGCCAAGACCUUCAGUGCUUAUGAGAUUUGUUUUGUUAUGUUGGCCUUAAUGUAUUUAUGAAUAAGAAGGAAAAGAAAUAGUAUGGCUGAUAGAAAGUGAAGUAUCCUUUUUGGAGGGCAGACAAUUUUACAAGUUUGCUUUAAAGGGAAACAUUUUAAAUACAAAGAGUUAGUAAACGAGUAGGGAGGUAGCUGGGCUUAAAGCUGUUUGAAGGAGGAAACUGGUAAUAUAAAAAGAGCCGGAACUACUUAGGACUUGACAUGGAUUCUUAGGAAAGUGAACAAGGUCUGCCUCACUGAUUCAGGUGAACUGAAGAUGGGCUGUUAGACAAGAAUGACGUCAUGGACGCUCACAGAGCCUUUAAAACAAAAAAAUCAUUUUUUUCAGUAUUAUAGCUGAAUUGCAGAUAUUUAAAUUAAAAAACUGUAUGAAGUUAGCGUUUCUAGUAAAAUAUUGAAGUAUUUUCAUGUUGAUGCUUCUGUAUAUGCAUUCUGAAGUAUUUAAAGAGGUAUGACUGUAAAACUCCUUACUUUUUUGCAGGUCCUUUUUACUUAUUUUGCUAUUGAUGUAUUUUUCUCAUGGAGUUUUUGUGCAAGAUUUAGCAUAAACCAUAUAGUGGAUAGCUUUGGAGACAAAUUAAAAAAAGGAAAAUAUGGAAGGUUGAACAUGUGAAGAAUUUCUGAAGACGUGUCUUGGACUGUUAAAAGUAGUUAUUUUGAAAAGGGGACUGUCCAGUGGAUAGUGUGCAUAGAAAAAAAGUGUUUGUCUUAAAUAUGCCAAUGUAGUUUUACUUCUUUAUGAUGCAUUAAACUUGACUGACAAUUUAA